rnacentral:piRNA from 1 species
UAAAGCAAAUGAGAGGGACUGCUGUA